UGUAAAUCUACAAAAGUUGGAAUUAUGAAAUUGGGUAGAUUAUGUAACAGAAAAAUAAUUAUUUCAAUUGAUAAAAUUUAAAAAAAAUGUGUUCUUUUUGAAAAUGGGAGUCAUAGUUAUGCAGUGACAUUACUUCAUAACUCAUAAAAAUUUUUUAUCUAAAAACAAACUAAGCUUCCUGUAAAUAUAUAUAUAUAUAUACCUAAUAUUAAAUUAAAAAAUAAACAUUGCAAUUAUGUUACAGAUAUGGACUUAAAAAAAGAAACAACCCAUGUCUUAAUAAAAUUUAAUAAAAUAAAAAAAUGUGAUAAAACAACCAUUGACUUAAUACCUAUAUCAUGGACUUAUAUUGAAGAUAAAACAUUUUACUGCAAAUAUCCUAAUAAAAACGAAUACAACAAAAUUGACCAAAUGAGCAAAAUGUCAUCAAUUCACAAGGUGUCAUGGAAAAGCUUUGAAAUUACACUAAUAAAAGAAGCCCGGAAUUAUGAUCAGGGUGUCAAGUAUAUGAAAAAAGCAUUUUCUGAUACUGUCAUACAGAGCAGUACCAUUGAGGAAGAAAAUAGUUCUGAAGGCGAAAGGUAUCCAUCAAAACUAAGCGGAGAUGAGCUUGGAAUGUCUCUAAAAGACAUCCCUUCUUUUAGUAAACAAUAUUCUACAACUGAAAUACAUAAAGUCAAAGGCAAUGAUGCUUUAAUGUUUUAUGUGCCAACGUCAGAUUCAUCUGAUGCCUCUGAAAUAUCCAAUAGACAGAAAAAAAAGUUAUUGCACACCAAAAACUCUCCUUCUUUUAAAAGAUUGAAACAAUCAACCAAUGAAAAAAAAACUAUAAAUGAUGCUAGUUAUUCACAGUCUGAAAUGUCAACAUCAGAAUCAUCUGAUGCCUCUGUAAUCACCAAUAGACAAAAAAAAAAGUUAUUACAGCCAAAAACCUCUUCUUCUUUUAAAAGAUUAAAAGCCAAUGAAGAAAAAACUACCAUAAAUGGUAAUUUUUUUGAAUAAAUUUUGUUUUUUGAUAUCUAUUUGAAGUUUUGUUUUAUUAUACUAUUUCAGAUGCAGAUUAUUUACAGACCAACACGUUAGCCCCCCAAUCAGCUGGUACAUCUAUUAAUGCAUAUUCACAUACAAAAUCAAAAUAUU